rnacentral:rRNA from 1 species
AACGAACGCUGGCGGCGUGCCUAACACAUGCAAGUCGAACGAGGACUUCGGGUCUAGUGGCGCACGGGCACGUACCGCGUGGGAACCUGCCCUUAGGAUCGGAAUAACUCCCCGCCAGGGGUGCUAAUACAGGAUAAUGUAUCCGGACCAAAGAUUUAUCGCCUUUGGGUGGGCCCGCGUUGGAUUAGCUAGUUGGUAGGGUAAAAGCCUACAAAGGGGACGAUCCAUAGCUGGUCUGUGGGGACGGUCAGCCACACUGGGACUGACACACGGCCCAGACUCCUACGGGAGGCAGCAGGUGUGAAUAUGGGACAACGCGCGAAAGCCUGAUCCAGCAAUGCCGCGUGGGUGAGUAAGGCCUUAGGGUUGUAAAUCUCUUUGACCCGGGAUGAUAAUGACAGUACCGUGAGAAUAAGCGCCGGCUAACUCCGUG